rnacentral:lncRNA from 1 species
UAAUAAAAUAUAAUUCAUUAAUAAAAAUUAAGAACUAUUAGGCGUGUAAAGAUUUAGACUAUUGGAGGAUAAAAUAAUUUUAUCCUUCAAUACAAACCAAUUAUUUUACCUAUUAUUUAAUUAUAUCAGUAAUUUAAGAAACCAUAUAUACUUUUAUAAUUUUAAUUACCAUAAAAAAUAAUUUUUUUGAGAUUUACAAACACAUAAAAUAAAAUUAUAUAUUAACAUCUGAUACAUAUAUAUAAUUACAUAGUAAUAUUAUUUGAUUAUGUAAUUAUAUAAAAUUAUUAUAAUUUAAAAGUAAUAAAAAAAUAAAAUAUUUAAAUAUAUAUACUCCAAGUGUAGUAUAUAAAGUUAGUAAAAUAUUGAAAUAAAAAUUCUAUUGCAACAUUAGAUUGAAUUGGAAUAUCAAAACAUAAGUUUAAAUUAUUCAAUUUUUUUAUUCAAAAUAAAUAUCUCAAUUUAUUUUGAAAUAUUAUCUUAAUUUUUUGAUUCUGAAACUACAUCAUAUUAAUUCACUUUUUUUACAUACUUGAUAUUUUUACUUUGCUUAUAUAUCAGAUUAUAUAUUAAGAUAUUAAGAUUUCAUUUUUAUAUAUUUAAUAAAGAACUCUUUCAUAACAAAUUCACAUUAGUUGAAAAAAUAUUAAAUCUCUCAAAUCAUAAAAAAUAGAUAUAUAUAUAUAUAUAUAUAUUCAUGAAAAACCAUAAAACAUAGUUAUAUACUAUUUAUUGUAAUAUAUAUAUAUAUAUAUAUAUAUAUAUUUCUAAUUUUAAAUUAUAUUAGAAUUGAAAUUAAUAGUAUUAUAAUUUUAUAAUUGCUCUAAUACCUAAGAGGACAAGAUUGAGAUAGAUUUUUGUAUUUCUAUGUGAUUAAUUUUGUGGCAAUUAAGCAUUAUAGAAGAUUUUUUGCACAACCAUGAAAAUCAUAAGAUAAUGUAAAGAAUUUUUAUAUAAAAAGAUUUAGAAGUAUAUUCAAAUUUAAGUAUGUUCAUAAAAUAAAUUAAAAGAUUCUUAAAGAUUUGAGAAAUUAACAUAAAAAUAAAUAUUAAUAAUGAUAAUAAUAAAAUAAAAAUCUUACAAAGUUUUUAAAAGGUCGUUGAAAGUUUUAGAUAUUGAAAUUUUCAUUGAACACUAUUUGAAGAAUCUAUAUUUUAAAUUAAAAUAUAUAUCAUUUUGACAAUGUGAUGGUUUAGGUCUUUAAUUGAUCUAACACUUGCAUAUGCAAUAAAUGCUUAUAUA